AUCUGAAGGCAUUGAAAAGCAUCAAGAGCCGAUUCAAAAAAUUAUUCAAGAGUCUUACCUGAGUGCUCUUUCCCUCCUGUUUCCAUGUUUCUCCCUUUUCUCACAGCCUCUGAAAACACUUCAGAACCACAAAAGUUACCUGCUGCACUCGUAUCAGAGGCGACAACCCCGGCCUCAGAAAUCCUCUCCACGCUGGCUGAAGCAAUACCCUCUCCUACUGCUGAACCUGCAGAUGUAACAGCUUCAACAGUCUCUCCUACUGAUGGACCUGCAGAUGUAACCACUGGUAAGGAAAAUUGCAUUACUGUGGUGUAUAUGCUAUCAGUCUUUAGGGGAAAAAAAAUUAAAAUUCACAUGAAAUUUAAUUUUACCUUAUCUUUUCACAGUCUCUCCUAGUCCUGCACCAGCAGACAUUACCACUAGUAAGUAAUACAGUUUUACUCUGGGUUACAUGCUACAAGUUUCAGAGCAAGAAUAUGCACUUAAUAUUUCAUUUCACCUUUUCUUUCUCACAGCAACAGUCACUGCUGAACCUGCAGAUGCAACAGCUUGUAAGUAAAAUAGCAUUACCGGGGUGUACGUGCUAUCAGUCUUGAGGAAAGGAAAAAAUAUUUCAAAUGCAUAUAAAAUUUAAUUUCAACUUUUUUUUUCACAGCAACAGUCUCUCCUACUGCUGAACCUGCAGAUGUAACCUC
rnacentral:lncRNA from 1 species